UAAUUCCAGCUCCAAUAGCGUAUAUUAAAGUUGUUGCAGUUAAAAAGCUCGUAGUUGGAUCUCGGGUCCCAGGCUUGCGGUCCGACGCACGUCGGUUACUGCUUGUCCUGACCUACCUCCCGGUUCGCCCUUGGUGCUCUUGACUGAGUGUCUCGGGUGGCCGGAACGUUUACUUUGAAAAAAUUAGAGUGUUCAAAGCAGGCAACAUCGCCUGAAUAAUGGUGCAUGGAAUAAUGGAAUAGGACCUCGGUUCUAUUUUGCUGGUUUUCGGAGCUAGAGGUAAUGAUUAAGAGGGACUGACGGGGGCAUUCGUAUUACGGUGUUAGAGGUGAAAUUCUUGGAUCGCCGUAAGACGAACUACUGCGAAAGCAUUUGCCAAGAAUGUAUUCAUUAAUCAAGAACGAAAGUCAGAGGU
rnacentral:rRNA from 1 species